CCCCUUCUAGAGGAAAGAUGUAAACCAGAGAUCAGCAGUAGCAGCACCACCGACCCCAAUUCUGAGUGGUCGAAGAUCUCCCACAUUCCCCACAUUGACAUUGAUGAGCAGCAAAUCAGAGGCUAAUUCCCAUUUGAAGUUCAUGAAUAAUGUCAGUUUCCCCAAUUAAAGCUACUAGCCUAACUUCUGCUGAAUAACUGCUCCAAACGUAUCUUUCCUUGGUCCUCUUAAUUUCUGCUUUUCAGGUAUAUUGGAACAAAAGUUUUCAGCUAUCAUGGUUUACUGUUUUAUGGUGAUGCAAACAAGUUACCUACACAUUCUUGGACUUGCAAAAAUAAGGGGUUGUUUGCUUGGUGAGGGCUUUCUAGCUUCAGAUUAGAUCCAUCAGGGCAUUCCCACAAGAAACUCUUUAGCCUUUAUAUGGAGAUGGUGUAGGCAAUACCAAGUUUUAGUUUUGGAAUCUACAAUGAACCAUCCAUAAAAACACGUGGAAUAGUAUAGAAGGCUGAGGGUAUAAUAGAUUUUCUUGAGGCUUAGACAUGCUGCAACGAAGAUUACUUGGGCUGGCUGCAUGAGGUUGUCUUAUCAUCUUUGAGGAGCUAUUUCCUUGGCAGUGGCAUUCUAACUUCAAAUAGAUCCAUCAAAGCUCUCCAAAAGGAAGAUUCUUUCUCGUUCUGUAUAUGGAGAAGGCAAUGACAAAUCUAGUUUGAGGGUUUACAGUUAAGUAUUGGAAAAGAUUCAUGGUACAGUAUAAAAAGAAGAGGGUGGAAUAUAUCUUCUUGAGGGAGGCUUAGAGCUCUGCUGCUGCAACAAAGAUGAGUUAUUUGAGUGCCAGAGAUCAGAUGAAUUGCCUAUAGACAUGCUAAGGAAGUUUUCCUGUGUAUGAGUAACUAAGAACACAAGCUAUUCUUGCAAUCUAGUGAUGGGGCAGUCCUUUAAUUCAAGGUUAUAGAAUGGUUGAUGGCAAAGACACCAGGAAGUAAAUUUUUGAGAGGAAGGCUCGCGUUAUUGGGAGUACGCGUCAUUGGACGGCAAUCUCCUGGUGGAAAAGACUGUCCAUGCCUUGAAGUGGAACCGAUGAAUAGGCAAAAAUCUUCAAGUACUUAGUUAAGAAUGAAUAGGCAAGUCAAACACCUUUAUGGUACUUUUGAACACACUGAAUUAGAAAUCAAUGAACAAACAGAUAAAUACAACCAAAAAGAAAUGAACACCUCAAAGUAUUUUGUUAGCUUACUAUAGAUAAACAAGUAAACUUCAAGAACCAGCUACAAGGAUGAUAUGUAACUUCAUUAGCAUAACCUAUGAAAUAAAUAAUAGUAGACUUCCAUUAUCUUCACUAAGAGCUCCAUUGGGAAGAAAUAU